UACGAAGGGGGCUAGGCGUUGCUCGGAAUCACUGGGCGUAAAGCGCACGUAGGCGGAUUGUUAAGUCAGGGGUGAAAUCCUGGAGCUCAACGUCCAGAACUGCCUUUGAUACUGGCGAUCUCGAGUCCGGGAGAGGUGAGUGGAACUGCGAGUGUAGAGGUGAAAUUCGUAGAUAUUCGCAAGAACACCAGUGGCGAAGGCGGACUCACUGGCCCGGUACUGACGCUGACGGUGCGAAAGCGUGGGGAGCAAAGCAGGGAGUUAAGCAAACC
rnacentral:rRNA from 1 species